AUUGAAGCUGGCGGCAGGCCUAACACAUGCAAGUCGAGCGUGUGGCGGACGAGUGGGGAAUACAACGGAAUCUACUCUGUCGUCGGGGAUAACGUAGGGAAACAUACGCUAAUACCGCAUACGAUUGAUUGAGCCGAUGUCGGAUUAGCUAGUUGGCGGGGUAAUGGCUCACCAAGGCGACGAUCCCUAGCUGGUCUGAGAGGAUGACCAGCCACACGGGAACUGAGACACGGCCCAGACUCCUACGGGAGGCAGCAGUGGGGAAUAUUGGACAAUGGGCGAAACCUGAUGCAGCCAUGCCGCGUGUAUGAAGAAGGCCUUCGGUUGUAAAGUACUUUCAGCAGGGAAGCGUUAUCCGCAGAAGAAGCACCGGCUAACUCCGUGCCAGCAGCCGCGGUAAUAC
rnacentral:rRNA from 1 species